CCCUUUUUCCAGAUUUUUGUUGGAAUUGUUAUCCCUUUUCCUCCGAAUCAUUAUUGAAAGGCAGAUGAAUUUAUGAGCAUAUACCAACCAAGUUGCAAUUUUGCUGUGCAAAUUGUGUGAUGCUUCAGGCACAUUU
rnacentral:snoRNA from 1 species